rnacentral:tRNA from 5 species
UCCCUCGUGGCGCAAUUGGCUAGCGCGUUAGACUGUUAAUCUAGAGGCUGGUGGUUCGAGCCCACCCGAGGGAG